AUGAUUGGAGAACCUAAUUUACAGUUGCACCCAUUUAUGUAUAACCUGUCUCACACUGUGGGAAGAUGCACACCUCCUACACCCAUAUGGGACAAGAUUUCCAGGGGAGGAAGCAUGGUUCACAUAGAGCUGAAUGUCUGUCUACUCCUUCCAGAACUCAGUAAUUUCUCUGCUGUUUUAAUUCCCUUGCUUGAGCUGGUCGAGGCCUGCACAUGAACAUAUGGCUAUGGAACCUGCCAAAAUGAGUGCCGAGUUUUUCAUCAGUACUGCCAAGGUGCUUCCGUCCGAGGUUCGUUCUUUGAGGAAAGAGAGUGAGUUGCUGUCAGCAGGAAUCAAGAGCAAGGUGGGACAGGAUUGCCACAAAGUUUGAAUGUGCAGCUGGGCCACUUACAGAGAAACUGUAAUUUCCUGUGUAAAUCUGCAUUUUGCUUCUUCUGCCGUUUCAAGGCAUGUUAGCUUCUGAUUUCUCUUCACAUAUUCCACACAAUCUCUUUCAGUUACCCACAUGCAGCUAAACAAAUCACAUAACCCUUUGCUGUGAUCCCCUUAUCCAGCAAGUUAAAGCACUUGGCGUUGUUCUGUGGUUCCAUGAGCAUCUAAAACUUCUCCGUUUAAUGCGCCAAAGAAAAAAACUGCUACUGCUGAGUCCCCAAAAUGGUGUUUGGUUCCUGUGCUUCUGAUGAAGGGCUGCUGGUCUGCAAAAUGAAAACUCACGAUCACUGUGGUAAGCUAAUAUUGUCAGAGCCAUGUUGUGUGACUUGACGUUUGUCCAAGUUGUAAGACCUUGAGAAAGAAUACAGUGAGAAUGGUAGCUGGGGCAGCCUGUUGUUUAGUGCAGAUUUUCAGGUGCAAAGUUUUUGUCAAGUUCAGGAGUAAUUGAAACCGAUUUCUUACUGCAUGGAAAAAAAAAAAACCAUUAAAAAAAUCCUUUUUGAUCACCUGUAGAUUGUAGCUAGACAGUUAAUUAGUGUGUAAAUGACUAUUUCUAAAUUAGAGUGAAAAUAAAUGGUCUUAUUUCUAGAAUAUUAUCA
rnacentral:lncRNA from 1 species